AUUGAACGCUGGCGGCAGGCCUAACACAUGCAAGUCGAGCGGAUGAAGGGAGCUUGCUCCUGGAUUCAGCGGCGGACGGGUGAGUAAUGCCUAGGAAUCUGCCUGGUAGUGGGGGAUAACGUCCGGAAACGGGCGCUAAUACCGCACACGUCCUGAGGGAGAAAGUGGGGGAUCUUCGGACCUCACGCUAUCAGAUGAGCCUAGGUCGGAUUAGCUAGUUGGUGGGGUAAAGGCCUACCAGGGCGACGAUCCGUAACUGGUCUGAGAGGAUGAUCAGUCACACUGGAACUGAGACACGGUCCAGACUCCUACGGGAGGCAGCAGUGGGGAAUAUUGGACAAUGGGCGAAAGCCUGAUCCAGCCAUGCCGCGUGUGUGAAGAAGGUCUUCGGAUUGUAAAGCACUUUAAGUUGGGAGGAAGGGCAGUAAGUUAAUACCUUGCUGUUUUGACGUUACCAACAGAAUAAGCACCGGCUAACUUCGUG
rnacentral:rRNA from 1 species